rnacentral:rRNA from 1 species
GCAUGUGUAGCGAAGCUUUUAGUGGAGCUGCGGAAGGCUCAGUAACGGGCGUCUAAUUUGAUCUCUUAGAGCGGACAACCUCUGUAAACGGAGGACAAAACGCAUUAUGGGCAUGUAAUAAAGAUGCCUAGACAACCGAAAGGUGUGAGAGAAUAAGGGGCCAUCCCAUCAGUUAGUAAGUAAGGUAAAGGCCUACUUAGACGAAGACGGGUACGGGGAAUUAUUGUUCGAUUCCGGAGAGGGAGCCUGAGAGAUGGCUACCAGGUCCAAGGAUAGCAGCAGGCGCGAAAAUUACCGAAGCCUAAAGUAGGGCGGUAGUAAUGAAACGUGAAAACGAAGUACUGAUAAAAGAGGUACUAGUGACUGGAGGUAAAGACUGGUGCCAGCAUCCGCGGUAAUACCAGCUCCAGGAGUGUCUAUGAUGAUUGUUGCAAUUAAAGAGUUCGUAGUCGAGUAGCAUGACAGGUCUUUAAAGUGGUGGAUCAAACGACGACCAGGAUCUGAAAAGCUAAGAAUGAGGAGCGAUCAGGGGCUAGUUUAUUAAGCGACGAAAGGUGAAAUUUGAUGACUCGCUUAGGAGAAACGGAGGCGAAGGCGCUAGCCAGGAGCGAAUCCGAUGAUAAAGGACGUAGGCUAGAGGAUCGAAGACGAUUAGAGACCGUUGUAGUUCUAGCAGUAAACGAUGCCGACGCUGUGCUAUUAGAAGUAGUGCGGAAGAGAAAUCGAGUAGGGCCUUGGGGAGAGUACAUACGCAAGUAAGAAACUUAAACGAAAUUGACGGAAGAACACCACAAGGAGUGGAGUGUGCGGCUUAAUUUGACUCAACGCGGGACAGCUUACCAAGCCCGACGACUGGACGAGUGUAGUACACGAUAGGUCGGAGAGUGGUGCAUGGCCGUUAACGACAAGUGGGGUGACCUUAUGGUUAAGUCCGGGAAGUAGUGAGACCCCUGCUAGCGGAAGACGAGACGAGCUAGGACAGGUACGCAAAGUACAGGAAGGAAGGGUCAAGAACAGGUCAGUGAUGCCCUCAGAUGGCUUGGGCUGCACGCGCACUACAGUGGUCACACGAAUAAAAGAAAGUAACAGUAAAGGUGAUUGAGAGGGAAUGAGCUUUGUAAGAGGCUCAGGAACGAGGCAUUGCUAGUAAUCGCAGACUCAUUAAGAUGCGAUGAAUACGUCCMUGUUUCUUUGUACACACCGCCCGUCGUUAUCGAAGAUGGAAUCAGGUGCGAACAAGUGAAAACGAGUGAGUACAGGGUUCUAGAUGUGAUACAAGUCGUAACAAGGUAGCUGUAGGAGAACCUGUAGCUGGAUCAGWCCGAGAGAAACGAAAGAGAAGAGUUAGUUAGAAGAGUAAAGAAAACCCUGCGCAAGGGAUCUUUUGGUUCGGUGAGCGAGGAAGAGCGCAGCGGAGAGCGAGAUGUGCAGGAGCAGCGGCGAUGACGGCACGUGCUUGAAGAUGCGGUGGCAGGACAACCCCUUAGAUUUAAGCAUAUUAGUAAAGGGAGGAAAAGAAACUAACGAGGAUUCCUGUAGUAGCGGCGAGCGAACAAGGACGAGCCCAAAGUGUAAUUGACGGAGCAAUCUGUCGAGAUGUCAAAGAAGCACGGCGUAACCAGUCUGGAACGGAGGGCCUAAGAGGGUGAUAGCCCCGUGAGCGUGCAGGGAGAAGGAGUAGCAGUGCUCGGUAGUGCACUGUGAACGGGUGGCAGCGUCCAUCCAAGGCUAAAUAUAACACCGAGACCGAUAGAGGAUAAGUAGAGUGAUCGAAGAAGGAAUAGACUAAAAAA